rnacentral:ncRNA from 1 species
GCCGGCGUCUAUACGGUGCAGACGACACCGGUUCCCGUCGUCAGCGAACUGCCCGGCCGCACCAGUGCCUUCCUGGUGGCCCAGGUGCGCGCCCGCGUGGAUGGCAUCGUGCUGCGCCGGGUCUUCACCGAAGGCGAUGACGUCAAGGCCGGGCAGUUGCUGUACAAGAUCGA